UAGUGUAAGUUGCGUAGCUGUCGGUUAGGACACAGGCACCAGGCAGGUCUGAGUAUAGACAGCGGAACUAUGCUAAAUGUGCUGUUAAGUUUGAUGAUACUUUUUUAAAAUCAAACGUGUAUUUUUUUUUUCAAUCAACAUAUGGGCAAAUGCUAAAAUAAACGGCUCACGAUCUCUCACUAAUACUGCGUAAUAUUGGCUGGUAAUUUCGGAGCAAGCGGGACAGAUUAGAUAAUGUAGGUUCCCCAGGUUGUGGCAGGACUUCAGGAAAGACUGGACUGCUCAUUUUGCAAUCCCUCUGCCAUCAUCAAGAGGUCUGGUAGGAGAAGCGUGAGUGCCUUGAAGCAGCUGCACAUGUAGUGCCAACACAUCAAAGCCAAAUUCUACAAGGAGGUCCACAAGCUGCAGAGUACAGCUCCCUGUACCAGCCAUUUUUCAGCAAGACACAAGAUAUGGUCUUGGGAACAGUGAAACCUACAGAAGAGGAGCGCAAAUGGCAUAUUGACAGAGAGGACAAGGAGGAGCUGGCGCUGUGACAUGAACAAAGGCAAAGACAUGACUCUGAGAACCGUCAAGAAGAAACAGAAACACAAAGGGGAGGGUCCUGUGAGGACCAUGACCAAACAAGUGCCCAUUGACUCCCUCAGCCUCUUCAGCCUUGUUAAAGGCAUGUUGCUUUCACUGUGACCUCCAGCUUUUCUUUUAUGACAAUGUCACAUGAAUGUGUUAGGACACCAAAUUCUGUGGCUUAUUUGAUACUUGGUGACAUGGAGCCCUUGAUCUGAAACAGUAAUCCCCAUACAACCAGCAGGGGGCAGCACUCCCCUGUAGGUAGGCUGUCUGUCAUGAAAUCAGCCUUGUCUGCUUGCUCAACCCGAUGACUUUCAUUUUUCUGGACUGAUGUUUGUUAGAACUGCAUGCACUUAGUUUUGGGAAGCUAUCACAGUUCAUACACUAAGUGCAAUAAUUCCUUCAGAUCUGCUUUCAACCCAAGUGCGUCACUUUGAUGUCUAAACUUUUCCAUACUAAAAACACGUCUGAAACAAAAACACGUCUGAAACUGUACAUGGCCGUGAACUGUGUGUUUCCACUGGAGACUGCAGUGGGUCAAGAGUGAAAUAGGCCAGAGGUGAAAAACGGACUGUAGUUAUUCUUGUUUACCAUAAAACUUCUGUGAGGUUUCCUGGAGUUUAGAGCCCAGAUUAGCCCCACCAUCUAUAAGAGACCGGUUACUGUUGGAAACAGGCAUUUAAUGUCUCACAUUUAAAAUGGGGGAAAUCAUGACUAGAAAAGACAAAUCAUGAUAGUUACAACACUGCUAUGUCUGUCUCUUCCUGAAAAGAAAGCAUGAUGUUUCAUCAUUAGUGACCCCAGUUUGCCCUCACAGAUGUGUCACGUUUUCUCUCCAGUGUGAGUGCCACGGUUUUCCUUGUAUCAUUUAUGCCACCACACAUCAGUUGUUCUUGGACAAGUUUACCCAAUGCGAAUAAACUACCAGUUGGGCAAAUAUAGAUUUUCACAUUCUGUCUGUAUCAUCGGCUCAUAGUCUGUUUAGAGAAUAGAACAU